UACGAAGGGGGCUAGCGUUGCUCGGAAUCACUGGGCGUAAAGCGCACGUAGGCGGGUCCUUAAGUCGGGGGUGAAAUCCCGGAGCUCAACUCCGGAACUGCCUUCGAUACUGAGGAUCUCGAGUCCGGGAGAGGUGAGUGGAACUGCGAGUGUAGAGGUGAAAUUCGUAGAUAUUCGCAAGAACACCAGUGGCGAAGGCGGCUCACUGGCCCGGUACUGACGCUGAGGUGCGAAAGCGUGGGGAGCAAACAGG
rnacentral:rRNA from 1 species